rnacentral:lncRNA from 1 species
CUGUGUGUGUGUGGUCGCCCGUAAUACGUCGCAAUUAGUGCAAGGUGGGGAUGGUUACUGUCGGCUAAGAAGAAUAUUAGACUCUGCGAUCUUUCCGGAAGCCGCGCAAUCUGCUGAACCGAGCAACGCAACGGAGAAGAAAUCCGAAUGACUGUGAAGCGCUACAUAGUCAACAAGAUGCGAUUGAGAACUCACGAAGCAGCGAGUACCGUUUGUUGGGGCACCGCCACCGCAAAGCGUCACUUCAUGAACGCGGUGCGCUGCAUCGUGCAUCGACAGUACUCCGUUGCUCAAGCUACCAUGCCGAUCCGCGAAAGCUGCUGCUGCUGCUUCGAUUUCGAAGCGCCACGGGUGGCGGCAGGGUUGGCAGCGUUGACGGCCGCGUCUUAGACGUCCUUCAGAGGACCGGCGCAGUGGUCACCACCCCGCCCGAGUAUUACCCCGUUCCCGACGUGGAGACUGAGGUCGUGGUGGGAACCUCUCAUGCAGCUACUAGUGCAGUUCAACGGGGGCCGAGCGACGUUGACCUGCAACCAAUACCCCUCCAG